UACAGAGGUCUCAAGCGUUGUUCGGAUUCAUUGGGCGUAAAGGGUGCGUAGGCGGCGCGGUAAGUCGGGUGUGAAAUCUUGGAGCUUAACUCCGAAACUGCAUUCGAUACUGCCGUGCUUGAGGACUGGAGAGGAGACUGGAAUUUACGGUGUAGCGGUGAAAUGCGCAGAUAUCAGGAGGAACACCGAUGGCGAAGGCAGGUCUCUGGGCAUUAACUGACGCUGAGGAGCGAAAAGCGUGGGGAGCGAACAGG
rnacentral:rRNA from 1 species